GACUGUUGUUCUCAUUGCUUCCCAGCAGUUUAAUCGACUCUUUUCGCUAAGUUGUUAAUACAAGUUCAAUCUCCUCGCUUCAGCCUGUAGAAGACAAAAAAUGGAGUGCAGAAGAAAAGUCCUUCUUGCUGCAAUAAUUUUCACAGUUGCCUGCAACAAAGUGACCGCACAGGAAACAAGGCUACUGGAUUUUCUAAAUAGCACAGAUGUUGUAGA